AUUGAACGCUGGCGGCCGUUCUAGCACAUGCAAGUCGAACGGUAACAGGAAGAAGCUUGCUUCUUUGCUGACGAGUGGCGGACGGGUGAGUAAUGUCUGGGAAACUGCCUGAUGGAGGGGGAUAACUACUGGAAACGGUAGCUAAUACCGCAUAACGUCGCAAGACCAAAGAGGGGGACCUUCGGGCCUCUUGCCAUCGGAUGUGCCCAGAUGGGAUUAGCUAGUAGGUGGGGUAACGGCUCACCUAGGCGACGAUCCCUAGCCGGUCUGAGAGGAUGACCAGCCACACUGGAACUGAGACACGGUCCAGACUCCUACGGGAGGCAGCAGUGGGGAAUAUUGCACAAUGGGCGCAAGCCUGAUGCAGCCAUGCCGCGUGUAUGAAGAAGGCCUUCGGGUUGUAAAGUACUUUCAGCGGGGAGGAAGGGAGUAAAGUUAAUACCUUUGCUCAUUGACGUUACCCGCAGAAGAAGCACCGGCUAACUCCGAGCCAGCAGCCGCGGUAAUACGUAGGUGGCAAGCGUUGUCCGGACUUACUGGGCGUAAAGGGAGCGUAGGUGGAUAUUUAAGUGGGAUGUGAAAUACCCGGGCUUAACCUGGGUGCUGCAUUCCAAACUGGAUAUCUAGAGUGCAGGAGAGGAAAGGAGAAUUCCUAGUGUAGCGGUGAAAUGCGUAGAGAUUAGGAAGAAUACCAGUGGCGAAGGCGCCUUUCUGGACUGUAACUGACACUGAGGCUCGAAAGCGUGGGGAGCAAACAGG
rnacentral:rRNA from 1 species